rnacentral:rRNA from 1 species
UGAGCUGUGAUGGGGAGAAGACAUUGUGUCUUCGAGUCGUUGAUUUCACACUGCCGAGAAAAGCCUCUAGAUAGAAAAUAGGUGCCCGUACCGCAAACCGACACAGGUAGUCAAGAUGAGAAUUCUAAGGUGAGCGAGCGAACUCUCGUUAAGGAACUCGGCAAAAUGACCCCGUAACUUCGGGAGAAGGGGUGCUCUUUAGGGUUAACGCCCAGAAGAGCCGCAGUGAAUAGGCCCAAGCGACUGUUUAUCAAAAACACAGGUCUCUGCUAAACCGUAAGGUGAUGUAUAGGGGCUGACGCCUGCCCGGUGCUGGAAGGUUAAGAGGAGUGGUUAGCUUCUGCGAAGCUACGAAUCGAAGCCCCAGUAAACGGCGGCCGUAACUAUAACGGUCCUAAGGUAGCGAAAUUCCUUGUCGGGUAAGUUCCGACCCGCA